UACGUAGGGUGCGAGCGUUGUCCGGAAUUACUGAGCGUAAAGAGUUCGUAGGCGGUUUGUCGCGUCGUUCGUGAAAACUUGGGGCUUAACUCCAAGCGUGCGGGCGAUACGGGCAGACUUGAGUACUACAGGGGAGACUGGAAUUCCUGGUGUAGCGGUGAAAUGCGCAGAUAUCAGGAGGAACACCGGUGGCGAAGGCGGGUCUCUGGGUAGUAACUGACGCUGAGGAACGAAAGCGUGGGUAGCGAACAGG
rnacentral:rRNA from 1 species